rnacentral:rRNA from 1 species
GAUGAACGCUAGCGGGAGGCCUAACACAUGCAAGCCGAGCGGUAUUGUUUCUUCGGAAAUGAGAGAGCGGCGUACGGGUGCGUAACACGUGUGCAACCUGCCUUUAUCUGGGGGAUAGCCUUUCGAAAGGAAGAUUAAUACUCCAUAAUAUAUUGAACGGCAUCGUUUAAUAUUGAAAGCUCCGGCGGAUAGAGAUGGGCACGCGCAAGAUUAGCUAGUUGGUGAGGUAACGGCUCACCAAGGCGAUGAUCUUUAGGGGGCCUGAGAGGGUGAUCCCCCACACUGGUACUGAGACACGGACCAGACUCCUACGGGAGGCAGCAGUGAGGAAUAUUGGUCAAUGGGUGCAAGCCUGAACCAGCCAUCCCGCGUGAAGGACGACUGCCCUAUGGGUUGUAAACUUCUUUUGUAUAGGGAUAAACCUACCCUCGUGAGGGUAGCUGAAGGUACUACACGAAUAAGCACCGGCUAACUCCGUG